rnacentral:misc_RNA from 1 species
UCCGAGUUGACCCCGGCAGUCUCCCACGAGUCCCCGCCAUUACGCGCUGGCAACAUAGGAUAAGGGUUGCGCUCGUUGCGGGACUUAACCCAACAUCUCUACGGCUUUUCCCUACAUGUCAAGCCCAGGUAAGGUUCUUCGCGUCGCAUCGAAUUAAGCCACAUGCUCCGCCGCUUGUGCGGGCCCCCGUCAAUUCCUUUGAGUUUCAGUCUUGCGACCGUACUCCCCAGGCGGCGAAUUUAACGCGUUAGCUUCGAUACUGCGCGCCAAAUUGCACCCAACAUCCAGUUCGCAUCGUUUAGGGCGUGGACUAC